rnacentral:rRNA from 1 species
GGUCAAGUGAAGAAGCGCAUACGGUGGAUGCCUUGGCAGUCAGAGGCGAUGAAAGACGUGGUAGCCUGCGAAAAGCUUCGGGGAGUCGGCAAACAGACUUUGAUCCGGAGAUGUCUGAAUGGGGGAACCCAGCCAUCAUAAGAUGGUUACCUUACACUGAAUACAUAGGUGUAUGGAGCGAACCAGGGGAACUGAAACAUCUAAGUACCCUGAGGAAAAGAAAUCAACCGAGAUUCCCUUAGUAGUGGCGAGCGAACGGGGACUAGCCCUUAAGUGGCUUUGAGAUUAGCGGAACGCUCUGGAAAGUGCGGCCAUAGUGGGUGAUAGCCCUGUACGCGAAAAUCUCUUAGUCAUGAAAUCGAGUAGGACGGAGCACGAGAAACUUUGUCUGAAUAUGGGGGGACCAUCCUCCAAGGCUAAAUACUACUGACUGACCGAUAGUGAACUAGUACCGUGAGGGAAAGGCGAAAAGAACCCCGGAGAGGGGAGUGAAAUAGAUCCUGAAACCGUAUGCGUACAAGCAGUGGGAGCCCACUUUGUUGGGUGACUGCGUACCUUUUGUAUAAUGGGUCAGCGACUUAUUUUCAGUGGCGAGCUUAACCGAAUAGGGGAGGCGUAGCGAAAGCGAGUCUUAAUAGGGCGUCUAGUCGCUGGGAAUAGACCCGAAACCGGGCGAUCUAUCCAUGGGCAGGUUGAAGGUUGGGUAACACUAACUGGAGGACCGAACCGACUACCGUUGAAAAGUUAGCGGAUGACCUGUGGAUCGGAGUGAAAGGCUAAUCAAGCUCGGAGAUAGCUGGUUCUCCUCGAAAGCUAUUUAGGUAGCGCCUCAUGUAUCACUGUAGGGGGUAGAGCACUGUUUCGGCUAGGGGGUCAUCCCGACUUACCAAACCGAUGCAAACUCCGAAUACCUACAAGUGCCGAGCAUGGGAGACACACGGCGGGUGCUAACGUCCGUCGUGAAAAGGGAAACAACCCAGACCGUCAGCUAAGGUCCCAAAGUUAUGGUUAAGUGGGAAACGAUGUGGGAAGGCUUAGACAGCUAGGAGGUUGGCUUAGAAGCAGCCACCCUUUAAAGAAAGCGUAAUAGCUCACUAGUCGAGUCGGCCUGCGCGGAAGAUGUAACGGGGCUCAAACCAUACACCGAAGCUACGGGUAUCACGUAAGUGAUGCGGUAGAGGAGCGUUCUGUAAGCCUGUGAAGGUGAGUUGAGAAGCUUGCUGGAGGUAUCAGAAGUGCGAAUGCUGACAUGAGUAACGACAAUGGGUGUGAAAAACACCCACGCCGAAAGACCAAGGUUUCCUGCGCAACGUUAAUCGACGCAGGGUUAGUCGGUCCCUAAGGCGAGGCUGAAAAGCGUAGUCGAUGGAAAACAGGUUAAUAUUCCUGUACUUCUGGUUAUUGCGAUGGAGGGACGGAGAAGGCUAGGCCAGCUUGGCGUUGGUUGUCCAAGUUUAAGGUGGUAGGCUGGAAUCUUAGGUAAAUCCGGGAUUCUAAGGCCGAGAGCUGAUGACGAGUCAUCUUUUAGAUGACGAAGUGGUUGAUGCCAUGCUUCCAAGAAAAGCUUCUAAGCUUCAGGUAACCAGGAACCGUACCCCAAACCGACACAGGUGGUUGGGUAGAGAAUACCAAGGCGCUUGAGAGAACUCGGGUGAAGGAACUAGGCAAAAUGGCACCGUAACUUCGGGAGAAGGUGCGCCGGUGAGGGUGAAGGACUUGCUCCGUAAGCUCAUGCCGGUCGAAGAUACCAGGCCGCUGCGACUGUUUAUUAAAAACACAGCACUCUGCAAACACGAAAGUGGACGUAUAGGGUGUGACGCCUGCCCGGUGCCGGAAGGUUAAUUGAUGGGGUUAGCUAACGCGAAGCUCUUGAUCGAAGCCCCGGUAAACGGCGGCCGUAACUAUAACGGUCCUAAGGUAGCGAAAUUCCUUGUCGGGUAAGUUCCGACCUGCACGAAUGGCGUAACGAUGGCGGCGCUGUCUCCACCCGAGACUCAGUGAAAUUGAAAUCGCUGUGAAGAUGCAGUGUAUCCGCGGCUAGACGGAAAGACCCCGUGAACCUUUACUAUAGCUUUGCACUGGACUUUGAAUUUGCUUGUGUAGGAUAGGUGGGAGGCUUUGAAGCGUGGACGCCAGUCUGCGUGGAGCCAACCUUGAAAUACCACCCUGGCAACUUUGAGGUUCUAACUCAGGUCCGUUAUCCGGAUCGAGGACAGUGUAUGGUGGGUAGUUUGACUGGGGCGGUCUCCUCCUAAAGAGUAACGGAGGAGUACGAAGGUGCGCUCAGACCGGUCGGAAAUCGGUCGUAGAGUAUAAAGGCAAAAGCGCGCUUGACUGCGAGACAGACACGUCGAGCAGGUACGAAAGUAGGUCUUAGUGAUCCGGUGGUUCUGUAUGGAAGGGCCAUCGCUCAACGGAUAAAAGGUACUCCGGGGAUAACAGGCUGAUACCGCCCAAGAGUUCAUAUCGACGGCGGUGUUUGGCACCUCGAUGUCGGCUCAUCACAUCCUGGGGCUGAAGCCGGUCCCAAGGGUAUGGCUGUUCGCCAUUUAAAGUGGUACGCGAGCUGGGUUUAGAACGUCGUGAGACAGUUCGGUCCCUAUCUGCCGUGGACGUUUGAGAUUUGAGAGGGGCUGCUCCUAGUACGAGAGGACCGGAGUGGACGAACCUCUGGUGUUCCGGUUGUCACGCCAGUGGCAUUGCCGGGUAGCUAUGUUCGGAAUAGAUAACCGCUGAAAGCAUCUAAGCGGGAAACUAGCCUCAAGAUGAGAUCUCACUGGAACCUUGAGUUCCCUGAAGGGCCGUCGAAGACUACGACGUUGAUAGGUUGGGUGUGUAAGCGCUGUGAGGCGUUGAGCUAACCAAUACUAAUUGCCCGUGAGGCUUGACCAUAU